AUUUUGUUAUAGUUUUAAAUAUCAUAAUUGCACUAACACGUGCAAAACUUGCUCAGUUCGAAAGUACAACUGUACCAUAUCAACAAUGCAUUUUCACGGAAAUUCCGAAAUUCAACGAUAAAUUGAUGGCAAAGUGAAAUAAUUGAUUAUUUUGGUUUUGUAUACUCAUUUCAUACGUACAAGAGAAUGCAUCGGGAUGAGAUGGCACGUGUACCUCUGCAUAAAUACAGGUCAAAACAUAAACUGAUAGUUCUGUUCACCAUUGUAAAUCCGGUUGCUGGGUUCCUUCUAUGGUACUUAAGACUACGAUUACUACGAAAAUGCUCAAAUAGAACUGAAGUAUUGAGAGUAGAGAGACAAAUGUCAACUUUAAGCUUUUUCGGAACGAUUACUACAUUUUUUAUGAUGACUCUGAUGUGUCUCUUCCUGGCUAUAACUGUAAGAGCAGACCACAAAAGGCGCGUACCAAAUCAACAACAGCCAUUAUUUACUCAGAGCGUACAGAUGAGUGGAAGGAUGCAAGCUCAUAUCGACAGUUUACCUGCUGCACGUGUGACGAAAACUAAAACCGAAAGUGUUCCACUGAAAUCGGAAGCUGAUGGAGAUAUGCAUAAUAUAUUAGAAGGAAAAACAUGCGGAGUUAAUAUUACUAGUAUUUUAGACCGUUGGUGUGAAUUAAGACACAACACAUCUACAAUUUCUGUUCCAUAGACAUAAUUUGUUUCUAAUUAGUUGUAAAAAUAAAGGUAUUUUGUAGUAAGAAGUAUUUGUCUAGCAAUUACGACAAGUGUAUUUUUUUUUAUUUAUGAUGACUUCUUUUUCCUGAUGGCGUCUUUCUAUUUAUAAAACAUAAAAGCAUAUUGAUAUACAAAUAUUCUAUAAUCAUAUGAAAAUACUUCAACCAAAAUGCGUUACAGUAGGAACUUAUUCAAUGUGCGCCAUUAUUUUCAGAUAGGUGGUUAAUAGCAAAAUGUUGCUUAAUUCCUGUGUCCAUAUCCGUAUACACUUCGUGAACUUUAAGGUUACGGAUGGCUCCAUUCUAAUGCUGAGACAGUUUCACUUGUGGUUCGAUUUUCGAGUUACCAUAACCAUUUUGUGAUAUUUGGUGAGAGAAAUCACAAUUUCGUCAAAUGAAAUUGUUAGGAGAAAUUAAUUUCUUUUUAUGACAGACAGCUUUUAUGUACAUUGUAUUUUCUGAUCUUUUUAAUUUUAAGGUUCCACUAAAGUCAAAAUAUAGGACACUUCAUAAACAUCUAAACUUUGCCUGUAUUUUUCAACCUAUAAUGAAUAAAGUCAUAAACUAUGAGAACAUAUGUUCAUUUAAACAUAAUUUAUAUAUACACAUUGUGUAAAUUGUAAAUAAACUUGAAAUUGUUAUGUUGUGGCCAAACCGGUUCUUGGGGUGAACACUAAAUUUUCAAAAAAAUCUACAGGCCUGCAAGACGACUUAAUUUGCUUAAAAUUGGUAUGGUGUUCUUUAACCCUGCUGACUGCCAUUGGCGAUUGCCAAAUUAAAUUGAUCACAAGAUCACAAGAUGUAACAAAAUGGAUCUUGAUAUAAACAGAAAACAAUUAACUUGUGGACACGAUGUUAUGCCACAAACAUAAGGUGUCAAUAUUUUUUUUUGUACACCAGAUCCGGAUUUCGACAAUAAAUGUCUCUUCAGUGAUGUUAGGGAUCGACACGGUAUUAGGAAGGCCAUAUAAAUUGUACCCUCAGUUUUAGAUAGACUCUUGAAUUUUAAGAGUCAAUAUAGAAUGAACGGAUCAUAUAAACCGGAGAAUAUGAUACAAGCCCAAACGAGUGUAAAUUGAAAACUUCGUUCAAACAUAUGAUUGCGUUGGAUAAAAACCGCAAUUUGUAUACGUGUGCAUGUAAAGCAAGUUCCAUUGUACAGCACAAACAACAUUUUCCAAAAGACCAAUGUAUAUUGAGUUUGUUAUUAGUAUAAACACAUAUGGACAUGCACAGUUCUGUAAUCUGUCGAUACUUGUAUCUUGGCAUUGUACUAAGUUAUGUUUUCCUCUAUUAAUCACGUUUAUAUUAAAUUAUAUCCAUUGGGUGUUGGAUGUGAACUGAAUGA